ensembl:rRNA 5S_rRNA 5S ribosomal RNA
AUCUACAGCCAUACCACCUGAACAUAGCUGACCUCAUCUGACCUCAGAGGCUAAGCAAUAGGGCCUGGUCAGAACUCGGAUACAAGAUAGCAGUGAUA